CCUACGGGAGGCAGCAGUGAGGAAUAUUGGUCAAUGGACGAGAGUCUGAACCAGCCAAGUAGCGUGAAGGAUGACUGCCCUAUGGGUUGUAAACCUCUUUUAUAUGGGAAUAAAAUGUUCCACGUGUGGGAUUUUGUAUGUACCAUAUGAAUAAGGAUCGGCUAACUCCGUGCCAGCAGCCGCGGUAAUACGGAGGAUCCGAGCGUUAUCCGGAUUUAUUGGGUUUAAAGGGAGCGUAGGUGGAUUGUUAAGUCAGUUGUGAAAGUUUGCGGCUCAACCGUAAAAUUGCAGUUGAAACUGGCAGUCUUGAGUACAGUAGAGGUGGGCGGAAUUCGUGGUGUAGCGGUGAAAUGCUUAGAUAUCACGAAGAACUCCGAUUGCGAAGGCAGUUCACUGGACUGCAACUGACACUGAGGCUCGAAAGUGUGGGUAUCAAACAGGAUUAGAUACCCGUGUAGUC
rnacentral:rRNA from 1 species